rnacentral:rRNA from 1 species
ACGGGAGGCAGCAGUGGGGGAUAUUGCACAAUGGGGGAAACCCUGAUGCAGCAACGCCGCGUGAACGAAGAAGGCCUUCGGGUUGUAAAGUUCUGUUCUUAGUGAAGAAGCAUGACGGUAGCUAAGGAGAAAGCUCCGGCUAACUACGUGCCAGCAGCCGCGGUAAUACGUAGGGAGCGAGCGUUGUCCGGAUUUACUGGGUGUAAAGGGUGCGCAGGCGGCCAGGCAAGUCAGGCGUGAAAACUGUGGGCUUAACCCGCAGACUGCGUUUGAAACUGCAUGGCUAGAGUGAAGUAGAGGCAGGCGGAAUUCCCGGUGUGGCGGUGAAAUGCGUAGAGAUCGGGAGGAACACCAGUGGCGAAGGCGGCCUGCUGGGCUUUAACUGACGCUCAGGCACGAAAGCAUGGGUAGCAAACAGGAUUAGAUACCCUGGUA